rnacentral:rRNA from 1 species
CCUACGGGGUGCAGCAGUGGGGAAUAUUGCACAAUGGGGGAAACCCUGAUGCAGCGACGCCGCGUGAGUGAAGAAGUAUUUCGGCACGUAAAGCUCUAUCAGCAGGGAAGAAAGUGACGGUUCCUGACUAAGAAACCCCGGCUAACUACGUGCCAGCCGCCGCGGUAAUACGUAGGGGGCAAGCGUUAUCCGGAUUUACUGGGUGGAAAGGGAGCGUAGACGGCAGGGCAAGCCUGAAGUGAAAUCCCCUGGCUUAACCACGGAACUGCUUUGGAAACUGUGCAGCUGGAGUGCAGGAGGGGUAAGCGGAAUUCCUAGUGUAGCGGUGAAAUGCGUAGAUAUUAGGAGGAACACCAGUGGCGAAGGCGGCUUACUGGACUGUAACUGACGUUGAGGCUCGAAAGCGUGGGGAGCAAACAGGAUUAGAUACCCUAGUAGUC